CAGGAGUUAGUUUCAUUAAAAUAUUGGUUUUGGGGACCAAAGAUAGGAAGUUUUCUACUCUUGA
rnacentral:tRNA from 1 species